rnacentral:lncRNA from 1 species
UGGAAGGUGUCCCUGCCCGUGGCAGUGGGCUUGGAACUGGAUUAUCUUCAAAGUUACUUCCAACGCAAGUCAUUCUGUGAUUCUACAACUGAAAGGGAGGCAGUAGGCCCUUCCUCAUGCUUGUGGUUGCUGGUGUAUCUCUUCCUGUGGGUGUCACCGGUUCUGCAGCCACCUGGGCAGCAGAAUGUCCUUGGACAUCCUGGUGGGGAUGUGAGAUGGGGCAGAGGGCAGGGGUUCCAGGGCUGGAGGCCGAGGAAAAGUGACCUUCCAGAGCAGAGUGGUGGUUUAGGAGCUGGGUGUCAGAAGUGGGGUUCACAGCCCAGCUUGAGACUCUGGGGUGUGGCGGUAGGAGGGACAGCAGGGAACAACACGAUCCUGCUUUGGGAAGCAAGCUGGGACGAAAAGGCAGGGGCAGCAAUUCAGACCUGUGUCCAUAGGAAAAGUUUGGGGCUGAGGGAAUUCCUGGGGAAAAAUCGUUCCCAGCAAGAACAACAGAGGACCCCGCACCUUAACUUCGCCAGAACCCACAUCAGUGUCACCAUCCCCUCCUCUCUCAAGAGCACCGGGACGAGCAGGGCUGCAGGGAUCGGUCUGAACUGUCACAGACAAGCGGGGAAAUCACUCAAGCAGCAGGUCUGUCCUCCUAUAUGUGCCCUUCGUCACCUUGGCGGUGUUCCGGAGCGGGGAUGCCGUGCGGAGACAAAGGCCCCGUCGGAGGCAGGGCUCCCCCGUUCCCCACGCUCCCUGCCCGGGCUGGCGCCCCGCCCUGUGCCCGGAGGCGGGACCGGGGCUGGCCGGGAGCGGCGGGGAGCAGGUGCCGAGGCUGAGCCCCGUGUCUGCCGCCCUCUCCCCAGCCGCUGGGCAGCUGAUGCCUGCGCUCCAGACUGCCCACCCAUGGCUCUGAUCUCCUCCGCCGCCCCCUCGACCCCCAGCCCGGGACACUCGGCCUCUCCGUCGGGAGCAGGGAUGCUGGCUUUCCUCCUGGCAGGCUGUGCCAGCCACGUGCCGUCUCCUCGGAGUACUUUCCAGUGUCCCUGCCUCGCUGGGUCACUGAGCCCUCCGUAG